rnacentral:lncRNA from 12 species
AUGGGCGAGGGAAGGAGGGAGGGAGCGCGCGAGGGAGGGAGGAGGAUGGGGGGGUUAAAGCUGCCGAGCGCCGAGGAGCCGGUGCAGAGCGGGCGGCGGCGGCGGCGGCGGCGGCGGCGGCAGCGGAGGCGGCGGCUCCAGCCGGCGCGGCGCGGGGCUCGGCAGCGGGAUCCGGCAGCGGCGCUAGCUCCGCGCUCCGUGCCUCGCUCGCUGCCCGCGGUGGUCGAAGGGCGAGGCGCGGAGCCCCGGUGGCCCGAGGGCGCGAAUCCAGCCUUGUCACAUCAUCCUGUCCCCUUGGUUUUGGAAGUCUUGAAAAGAGUUGGUCUGGAGAAGGAGGACAUUGAUGUGUUCCGUGUACGGCCGGUGGUGAAGAGGUAUGUGCUGGGGACCCAAACGAGGCAGGUCAGUCUCCAGGGAAUCAGGCAUUAGGCUGGUGUGGUGGGGCUAUAGGUUUGGGAAUGUGAGUGAAGGAGGGCCUGAAGUCCCUUCCUUUUCUCCCUCUGUUCUUCCUCCUGAGGCUUUUCAUCCCCUAUGACAGGUCCAUAAAGAGGAAGGGCAAAGCCAGGUCUGCAUGGAGAGGGCUGAAUCCUGGACGUGAGAGUAUGCUCUGUCUCAUUGUCUGGCUCCCUUUCUGCCCCUAAAGCAUCUCUCUGGCUUGACUGGGGGAGCAGCUGGGCUUGGAGUAGAUGGGAUGGGGGUCGGAAAUUCCAAAAUCUUCUGGGGCCAGCCAUGGGGCUGGGCUUGACUCACCCUGCCCUGCCUUUCAUUAAGGCCAGCCAAGGCCCCCGAUUGGCAGCCCCGGGUGGGGGCGUCCAAGGAAUUGAGGCGCUGGAGCGGAACGGAAGGGCCUAUUGUCCAAAACCCGCCAGAGGCCCACAAAGGCCAGUCGGCUUUUCAUCUCAGCUCCCAAACAGACUGGCCAUUUUCCCGGCCCCACUCCUGGGCCGACUGACUGACCCUUCAGAACUAGGUCUGGGGUGUUGUUGAGGGUGGGGUGGGGUAUCCCAGGCCAACAUGUGGCCAUAAAGGAGACUUAAAAUGGAGUUGGGGUUCUGAAGAGGAGGAAGGGAGGCUUCAGGGGGCUGUAGAGAGUUAAGCUUCCCAUCUCUCUGUUCCCAGAAGACCCAAGGACUAGGGUAGAGUAUCUGAUAGAAGUUUAGAUUAACACAACAAUAGAUAAUAAAUAUUUAUAGGGGGCACA